rnacentral:misc_RNA from 1 species
GCAAUUCUCAAUCAGGUCACCUCUGUACCAAGUGAAGGUGUUUAACAGGAUUAACAAUUGACAUGGCUUUCACAUAAAAUAAUUGGCUUCUCCAAGGCUCAGGCACCCCGACGAGGUUCAAGAGAGAAGCAGCUUCAAAUGAUCCUCCAACUUUAUUACCAUCUAGUCAAAUCUUCUAUAAAGAUGAUGUUGAAUGGUCGACCAUCCGCAACAGCCAAUUUUUUAAGUCUGGCACUGCAUCAAUCUCGAUAUGAGAAAGAGCACCUAAUGGUGUCAUUGAAAUAUAUCCUUCUGCAAUUGCUCGGAUAUCUGUAUCCACUCCUUCCUCCUCUUGUUCAGAUUUCUUUAUCACUCUUUGGAAAAAAAGGGAAUCAUGAGAAAGAGAGGAAGUAUAUUCUUUUUCAUCAGUUGCAGGUUCGGCAUUUAUAUGCAUUGUUGACUGGCCUUCAACCCCUUGUGCGCUGGCGGUGGCUACCUGCUUCCACUCAAUUUUCAUCCUGGAUGUUCCUUGUUUUGUUAUUUUAAACCCCUUAUGAUGCGCCACAUCUGUUGGCACAUCAAUAUUG